rnacentral:rRNA from 1 species
GACGAACGCUGGCGGCGUGCUUAACACAUGCAAGUCGAACGAAGUGGCGAACGGGUGAGUAAUACGUGAGUAACCUGCCCUCCUUUUUGGGAUAAGCCUUGGAAACGGGGUCUAAUACCGAAUAAAGGGGGAUGGGCUCGCGGCCUAUCAGCUUGUUGGUGGGGUGAUGGCCUACCAAGGGGGUGUCGGGUAGCCGGCCUGAGGGGGUGACCUGACACAUUAGGUCUGACAUAGGGCACAGACUCCUACGAGAGACAGCAGUGGGGGAUAUUGCACUAUGGGCGAAAGCGUAAUGCAGCGGCGCCGCGUGGGGGAAGGGGGCUUUCGGGUUGUAAACCUCUUUAGCUAUCGAUCGGGUAGGUGGAGAAGAAGCGCCGGCUAACUACGUGCCAGCAGCCGCGGUAAUAC